GGGAGCUGACCAGGAUGCAAAGACACAGCACCAAAGAUUAAACUACGCAGCUCAAGAAAUGAGGAAUCCCCGUUUGCAUAGUAUUUUUUGUCCUUAGAAUAACUUUCUUUUGCAUGGGCUGUGUAGGAUAUUUGGCUCUGUCUGACAGGAAGCUCAGCUGAACACACCAGCCCUGUCACGCAGAGGUGCUGAAGUGAGGGCUGAAGGUUCCAGGAUUUACAGUUCAAACUGAAGAUCAGCUCCCAAGCUCUGCAAAAAUGAGAAGCAGAAACCCUGCUUGAAGUCAGCGUUGUCAGAGUUUUAUAAACCCUGCUGCAGAGCUCCAACUGGGCUGCACUCCAAGAGCAUUUAUUUGGAUAACAAAAAUAAGAUAAAAAUGAAACUCUCCCUGUAACCUGUUCUAUUCCUCACUUUUCUUACAGACUUGUUUUAAAAGACCUUCUAGAGAAGGGCCAUUUGCUCAGGAAAGCUAAAGCUGGACACUGGUGGCAAUAAAAUAAUUUUUGAGUUUU